AGUAACACGUGCACUAACCUGCCCCCGACUUCGGGAUAAGCCCGGGAAACUGGGUCUAAUACCGGAUAUGACAACCGAUGGCAUCUUUGGUUGUGGAAAGUUUUUUCGGUUGGGGAUGGGCUCGCGGCCUAUCAGUUUGUUGGUGAGGUAAUGGCUCACCAAGACGACGACGGGUAGCCGGCCUGAGAGGGCGACCGGCCACACUGGGACUGAGACACGGCCCAGACUCCUACGGGAGGCAGCAGUGGGGAAUAUUGCACAAUGGGGGAAACCCUGAUGCAGCGACGCAGCGUGCGGGAUGACGGCCUUCGGGUUGUAAACCGCUUUCAGCAGGGAAGAAGCCCCUUGGGGUGACGGUACCUGCAGAAGAAGUACCGGCUAACUACGUGCCAGCAGCCGCGGUAAUACGUAGGGUACAAGCGUUGUCCGGAAUUAUUGGGCGUAAAGAGCUCGUAGGUGGUUGGUCACGUCUGCUGUGGAAACCGCAACGCUUAACGUUGCGCGUGCAGUGGGUACGGGCUGACUAGAGUGCAGUAGGGGGAUUCUGGAAUCCUGGUGUAGCGGUGAAAUGCGCAGAUAUCAGGAGGAACCCCGGUGGCCGAAGGCGGGACUCUGGGCUGGUACUGACACUGAGGAGCGAAAAGCAUGGGGAGCGACAGGAUUAGAUACCCUGGGUAKCCCAUGCCGUAAACGUUGGGC
rnacentral:rRNA from 1 species